CAGCAGCCGCGGUAAUACCGGCGGCCCGAGUGGUGGCCGCUAUUAUUGGGCCUAAAGCGUCCGUAGCCGGGCCCGUAAGUCCCUGGCGAAAUCCCACGGCUCAACCGUGGGGCUUGCUGGGGAUACUGCGGGCCUUGGGACCGGGAGAGGCGGGGGGGACCCCUGGGGGUGGGGGGGAAUCCUAUAAUCCCCGGGGGACCGCCAGUGGCGAAGGCGCCCCGCUGGAACGGGUCCGACGGUGAGGGACGAAGGCCAGGGGAGCAAACCGGAUUAGAUACCCGGGUAGUCCUGGCUGUAAAGGAUGCGGGCUAGGUGUCGGGUGAGCUUCGAGCUCGCCCGGUGCCGUAGGGAAGCCGUUAAGCCCGCCGCCUGGGGAGUACGGCCGCAAGGCUGAAACUUAAAGGAAUUGGCGGG
rnacentral:rRNA from 1 species